rnacentral:Y_RNA from 1 species
GGCUGGUCCGAAGGUAGUGAGUUAUCUCAGUUGAUUGUUCACAGUCAGUUACAGAUCGAAUUCCUUGCUCUACUCUUUCCCCCUUCUCACUACUGCACUUGACUAGUCUUAA